CCUACGGGCGGCAGCAGUGAGGACUAUUGGUCAAUGGACGAGAGUCUGAACCAGCCAAGUAGCGUGAAGGAUGACUGCCCUAUGGGUUGUAAACUUCUUUUAUAUGGGAAUAAAAUGUUCCACGUGUGGGCUUUUGUAUGUACCAUAUGAAUAAGGAUCGGCUAACUCCGUGCCAGCAGCCGCGGUAAUACGGAGGAUCCGAGCGUUAUCCGGUUUUAUUGGGUUUAAGGGGAGCGUAGGUGGAUUGUUAAGUCAGUUGUGAAAGUUUGCGGCUCAACCGUAAAAUUGCAGUUGAAACUGGCAGUCUUGAGUACAGUAGAGGUGGGCGGAAUUCGUGGGGUAGCGGUGAAAUGCUUAGAUAUCACGAAGAACUCCGAUUGCGAAGGCAGCUCACUGGACUGCAACUGACACUGAGGCUCGAAAGUGUGGGUAUCAAACAGGAUUAGAUACCCCUGUAGUC
rnacentral:rRNA from 1 species